GCCACUGGUCCACAAGUUUAAUCCAAUAUACUUCUCUUUAAUCCAAUAUCCAAUAUACUUGCUUACUGGCAGAAUUAAUUGAUUCAGCCGUGAAGGGAACAAUCAACGUUCUUAGAUCAUGUGCAAAAGUUCCUUCUGUCAAGAGAGUGAUUGUAACAUCCUCAAUGGUUGCAGUCGCAUAUAAUGGAAAACCUCUGACCUUUGAUGUGGUAGUUGAUGAGACCUGGUUUUCAGAUGCACUUUUUUGUGAGAAAUUGAAGAGUUGGUAUAUAGUUUCAAAAACUUUAGCUGAGGAAGCUGCUUGGAGAUUUGCAAAAGAGAACGAAAUUGACUUGGUUACAAUAAAUCCAAGGAGCUCAAACAUUUCCCAAUCCAUUCUAUAGAUUUGUUGAUAUUAGAGAUGUUGCAAAUGCACAUAUUCAAGCACCUGAAGUUCCUUCAGCCACAGGCAGAUAUUGUUUAGUUGAAAUCGUUAUACACUGUUCUGAGGUUAUGAAGAUUUUGCAGAAACUGUACCCCACUUUUUGCCUUCC